UAAAGGCUCCUCAACUGAUUUAGAUGACCAAUUUCUUGUGGUAUUACCCCAGUUAAUUGAUUACUACCUAGAUCAAGAUACUGAAGCUCGGAGAGGUUACCGACUUGAGGGGGGAUGGUACCAAAGACUAUAUUAAAGCUAAGGUUAAGACGCACAAGAUGAGGAAAGGACGAGAAUGCAAAUUCUUGAAGCGUACCAUUUAAACCCAUAGAGCUGAGGUUAAUGCUGAUGACUCUUUCAGCUUGGUUGCAAGAAAUUCCAACCCAAGCACAAGGGCUAAGUUUGGCUUUUGAGUAGGAAGGAACAUUGGUUGCAUUAGCAGGAUAAAGUGUCCAUGACGUCAACAAAGAGCUGUUUUGGUUUUGAAGGCUUCUUUUCCAUUUGAGAAGAGCUAAUGCUUCUUUAGUAGAAUCAGAAGAUUGUAAAGAUAUAAAAGUCUUAGAUUGCUAAGAUUACCAAUUGAAGAAGGAAUCACACCAUUGAGUUGAUUUAUGUGCAAGCCUAGUGCCGAAAGAGACUUCAAGUUUCCUAGAAUGGGAGGGAUGAAACUAGAAAGUGAAUUACUAAAAAGAGACAUCACAGUCAAGCUGCUUAAAUUACCUAAAGAAAUAGGGAUUGAACCACUAAGCUGAUUUUCGCUCAAGUCUAGUUGGAGAAGAGACUCCAAAUUUCCUAUAACCGAAGGAAUAGGACCAGAAAGUGAAUUCGAAUAAAGAUACAAUAUACCCAAGUUGCUUAAGUUGCCUAAAGAAAAUGGGAUUGAGCCACUGAGCUGAUUUUUGCUCAAGUCCAAAGUGGAAAUAGAUUUUAAAUUUCCCAAAACUAAAGGAAUGGAGUCAAAAAGUAAAUUGUUAUUAAGAUAAAAAUUAGCCAAGUUGCUUAAGUUACCCAAAGAAGGAGGAAUAGGACCAUAUAAAUUGUUAUGACACAAGGCAAGCUCAUUAAUAAGACUUAACUGACCUAUUUCUUGUGGAAUUGGGCCAUGCAACUGAUUCACAUCAAAGUAAAGACUCCUCAACUGAUUUAGAUGACCAAUUUCUGGUGGUAUUACCCCAGUUAAUUGAUUAUUGCCUAGAUCAAGAUGCUGAAGCUUGGAGAGGUUACCGACUUGAGGGGGGAUGGUACCAAAGACUAUAUUAAAGCUAAGGUUAAGACGCACAAGAUGAGGAAAGGACGAGAAUGCAAAUUCUUGAAGCGUACCAUUUAAACCCAUAGAGCUGAGGUUAAUGCUGAUGACUCUUUCAGCUUGGUUGCAAGAAAUUCCAACCCAAGCACAAGGGCUAAGUUUGGCUUUUGAGUAGGAAGGAACAUUGGUUGCA
rnacentral:lncRNA from 1 species